rnacentral:rRNA from 1 species
AAUCAACGCUGGCGGCGUGCCUCAGACAUGCAAGUCGAACGAGUUAAAGCUCUCUUCGGAGAGUGCAUAAAGUGGCGCACGGGUGAGUAACACGUAAGUAAUCUACCUUCGAGUGGGAAUAACGUCCGGAAACGGACGCUAAUACCGCAUAACGCAGCGGCAUCGCAAGAUGACAGUUGUUAAAGAUUUAUCGCUUGAAGAGGAGCUUGCGGCAGAUAGCUUGUUGGUAAGGUAACGGCUUACCAAGGCUACGAUCUGUAUCCGGUCUAAGAGGACGGUCGGACACACUGACACUGAAUAACGGGUCAGACUCCUACGGGAGGCAGCAGUCGGGAAUUUUGGGC